GUGACCUGCCCUGGAGUGGGGAAUAACUGCCCUAACGGGUGGCUAAUACCGCAUAUGCCCACCGGGUCGGACCGGUGCGUAAAGCCUUUGGGCGCUUUGGGAUGGGCCUGCGGCGGAUUAGGUAGUUGGUGGGGUAACGGCCUACCAAGCCGAUGAUCCGUAGGGGGCGUGAGAGCGUGGCCCCCCACACUGGCACUGAGACACGGGCCAGACUCCUACGGGAGGCAGCAGUGAGGAAUAUUGCACAAUGGGCGCAAGCCUGAUGCAGCAACGCCGCGUGCGGGACGAAGGCCUUCGGGUCGUAAACCGCUUUUCUGAGGGACGAGCAAGGACGGUACCUCAGGAAUAAGUCUCGGCUAACUACGUGCCAGCAGCCGCGGUAAAACGUAGGAGGCGAGCGUUAUCCGGAUUUACUGGGCGUAAAGCGCACGCAGGCGGCUCUGUAAGUUGGACGUGAAAGCUCCCGGCUUAACCGGGAGAGGUCGUUCGAUACUGCGGGGCUUGAGGUUGGGAGAGGGGUGCGGAAUUCCCGGUGUAGUGGUGGAAUGCGUAGAUAUCGGGAGGAAC
rnacentral:rRNA from 1 species